UACGGGGGGGGCAAGCGUUGUUCGGAAUUACUGGGCGUAAAGGGCUCGUAGGCGGCCAACUAAGUCGGACGUGAAAUCCCCAGGCUCAACCUGGGAACUGCGUCCGAUACUGGAUGGCUUGAAUUCGGGAGAGGGAUGCAGAAUUCCAGGUGUAGCGGUGAAAUGCGCAGAUAUCAGGAAGAACACCCGUGGCGAAAGCGGCUCUCUGGAACGGUACUGACGCUGAGACGCGAAAGCGUGGGGAGCGAACAGG
rnacentral:rRNA from 1 species